rnacentral:rRNA from 1 species
AGUGAACGCUGGCGGUAGGCCUAACACAUGCAAGUCGAACGGCAGCACAGUAAGAGCUUGCUCUUACGGGUGGCGAGUGGCGGACGGGUGAGGAAUACAUCGGAAUCUACUUUUUCGUGGGGGAUAACGUAGGGAAACUUACGCUAAUACCGCAUACGACCUACGGGUGAAAGCAGGGGAUCUUCGGACCUUGCGCGAUUGAAUGAGCCGAUGUCGGAUUAGCUAGUUGGCGGGGUAAAGGCCCACCAAGGCGACGAUCCGUAGCUGGUCUGAGAGGAUGAUCAGCCACACUGGAACUGAGACACGGUCCAGACUCCUACGGGAGGCAGCAGUGGGGAAUAUUGGACAAUGGGCGCAAGCCUGAUCCAGCCAUACCGCGUGGGUGAAGAAGGCCUUCGAGUUGUAAAGCCCGUUCGUUGGGAAAGAAAAGCAGCAGGUUAAUACCCCACUGUUCUGAGGGUACCCAAAGAAUAAGCACCGGCUAACUUCGUGC